GUGCCAGCCGCCGCGGUAAUACGUAGGGGGCAAGCGUUGUCCGGAAUUAUUGGGCGUAAAGCGCGUGCAGGCGGCUUGUUAAGUCGGAUGUUUAAGAUCGGGGCUCAACCCCGAUUCGCAUCCGAAACUGGGAAGCUUGAGUGUAGGAGAGGAAAGUGGAAUUCCACGUGUAGCGGUGAAAUGCGUAGAGAUGUGGAGGAACACCAGUGGCGAAGGCGACUUUCUGGCCUAUAACUGACGCUGAGGCGCGAAAGCGUGGGGAGCAAACAGGAUUAGAUACCCCGGUAGUCC
rnacentral:rRNA from 1 species